AUGCCUUCUUACAACAAGAGUACAAAGAAAAGAAUUUGACAUUGUGAAGGGUCCAAAUUCUACCACAUUAAAUAAUAGGCUGGUUUCAUGGCCACUGGAUGAGCAGAAGUGUUUGUGCCUGUGUAAAUGGCCUCAGAUUACUCCUCCUAUAGAGCAGCUGGAUUUUCUUUUCAUAAUUGUUCAAUCUCUUCCGCUGCUGAUAAAUUGUCAGUCUCAGCAUCUAGCCCGUUGCAACUCUUUUCCAGUCUUUCUAAUUUGGUCCUUCUAAUCUUCUGUUGUCUUGGAAAAAACACACAUAUUUGUUAGAAGUGUGAGCAAACUAACAGAACACAGAUCUGAGAGAGGGCUGCAAAGUGGAGACACUGGCAAGCUGAGAUGCAGAGUGGGGAGGUGUUCAAAAUGAAUGGCCCUUGUAGGUGGGAGUUAAAUCAUGAAAUAGCACGCAAGUCAUGUUGAAGAGUUUGGGUUUUAUCCUGAGGGCAACUGGGAGCUUUGGAAGAAUUCAAGAAGGACGACACAGGGCAACUACAGGAGGGAAAAAGUAAAGAUGGAAGCCACACCGAGGAGGAGAGAGAAGCUUUCGAUGAUGAACCAAGAACGUCAUAGAGUUGGAAUCCUACAGUAUGUAACCUUUUCAGAUCGGCCUUGUUCACUUGGUAAUAUGCAUUGCUGGGAAAGCUGUACGAGGUCUGGAGCGCGGGGCAUCCCGGGAUCAGCUCCCUGCUGCCACAACCCCACUGGUGUUAUUAGUAUCCUCAUCAGAAUGACGUCUUUUCCAGCAGCUUGUUUCUAGCACGUUUCUGAGUUUCUACAGCCCAUCCAGAUCUAGGCCCCUGGUCACAUCCCAGAGCCACCCCCACCACAGACACAAGGCCCCUCAGUGCCAGGCCCCCUUGGUGGAUCUCAAAUGGUUUUGCAUGAGCCCCACCCCACAUAAGGCAGCAGAAGCAGGCUCUUACCCUAUUCGGCAGAUGGGCAGGCUGUGGCUCAGAGAAGCUGAGUGGCUGGCAUAAAAUGGCACAGGAUCUCCUCUACAACCACCUACAACCACCCUCCAUACAGCAAGCCCCUCAGCUUCCCUUUCCACCCAAAGGUCUGGCUCCCACUCUUGGAUGAAGAGAAGGAGCGUCUGAACCCAAAAUUCCUUACAGCACAAUAGACAACUGAAAAACAACUCAACAGAAUUUUAAUUAUUCACAGAAAACGUGUACUGUGUACAAGGUAUUGACCAAAGAACUUUAUAAAUACUAACUCAUUUUCUCCUUAUAACUACCUUAAUGAAGCAGGUACAAUUAUUAUCCCCAUUUUAUAGGUGAGGAAACUGAGGCAGGGAGAGAGUAACUGGCCCAGGGCCACACAGCUAGGAGGCCAGAGAGCCGGCAGUGGCCCACACUUUUAGACACUGCACUCUGCUACCUGCGGAUUUUUUGUUUGUACCAUUUUCCAGUUAUUAAUUUUUAAACAGUUUUAUUGAGGUAUAAUUUAAUGGUGUAAUUUAACUUAAGAUUUACCCAUUUUAAGUGUACAAUUAAAUGAUUUCAGUUAAUUUAUAGAAUUGUGCAACCAUUAUAACGAACCAAUUUUGGCACAUUUCCAUCAUCCCAGAAAAGAUCCUUUAUGUCCACUUCCUGUCACUGUUUCAACCUCCAGCCUGAGGCAACCACUAAUCUACUUUCUGUCUCUGUAGAUUUGCCUCUUCUGGAAACUUCAUAAUAAUGAAGUCAGAGAAUGUUGGGUCUUUUGAGUCUGUUUUUGAGGUUGAUCCCUGGGGUAGCAUGUGUCAGCACGUCAUUCCUUUUCAUUGCUGACUAAUAGUCUGUCGUGUGGCUAUCCCACAUUUUGUCUAUCCAUUCACCAGCUGAUGGAUUUUUUUGGUUGUUUCCACUUUUUGGCCGUGAUGAAUAAAGCUG
ensembl:lncRNA